rnacentral:rRNA from 1 species
UACGUAGGGGGCUAGCGUUGUCCGGAAUCAUUGGGCGUAAAGCGCGUGUAGGCGGUUCGGUAAGUCCGCUGUGAAAGUCGGGGGCUCAACCCUCGAAUGCCGGUGGAUACUGUCGGACUAGAGUACGGAAGAGGCGAGUGGAAUUCCUGGUGUAGCGGUGAAAUGCCCAGAUAUCAGGAGGAACACCAAUUGCGAAGGCAGCUCGCUGGGACGUUACUGACGCUGAGACGCGAAAGCGUGGGGAGCAAACAGG